UGGCGGACGGGUGAGUAACACGUAGAGAACCUACCUUACACAGGGGGACAACGGCUGGAAACGGCUGCUAAUACCGCAUAAGCACCCAGUUUCGCAUGAAACAGAGUGAAAAGAGUAAAUCGGUGUAAGAUGGCUCUGCGUCUGAUUAGCUGGUUGGCGGGGUAAAGGCCCACCAAGGCGACGAUCAGUAGCCGGCCUGAGAGGGUGAACGGCCACAUUGGGACUGAGACACGGCCCAAACUCCUACGGGAGGCAGCAG
rnacentral:rRNA from 1 species